AGGAGGCGUGGGGCAGCCCCCCCCCAUCGCGGCCCCCCCCGCAGAGCCCCCCCGGCUUUUCCGCUCCCCCCUGGGGCUGCCCCUGUCCCGGCACCUGCUGCUCUGGGCCCGGGUGCCACACGCCGGUGCCACCAAGGACUGUUUGCUGCUCUGCGCCGCCGGCCUGCGCCCCCCCGCCGCGCCCCCCGGGACCCCCCCCUAAUUCCGGGUGUCCCCGGGGUGUCCCCGAGGUGUCCCCGAGGUAUCCCCUCCCCCCUUUGUUGCACUUGACCCCCCCUUUCCCACGAGGGGGAGGGGGGAACCUGUACAGAGACCCCCCCCAAAAUCCGAGACCCUCCCCCCCCCAAAAUCACGGGACCCCCCCACCUCAAAAUCCCACUGGGCACUGGGGGGGGGUCCCCAAAUCCGAGAUCUCCCCCUCAAAUCCCACCGGACCCCCCCCCCCCCCCCCAAAUCCGAGACCACCCCCCAAAAAAUCCCACCGGGCACUCGAGGGGGGGGGGUCCCCAAAUCCGCCCCCCCCCCCCAAAAAACCACUCCACCCCCCCCCGGGGGGGUCCCAAGCGUGUGUCCCCCCCUCCCCACCCCACCCCAAUAAUUUGGGGAGGGGUCUCCCCGGUGCCCCCAUGACCCUCCCCGAGGGGCAGCGGGAUGCGACCCCCCCCAAAAAGGGUGGGGGCCCCCCCGACCCCCCCCCAAAAGGGUGGGGGGCCCCCCCCAUUAGUAAUUUAUUUGUAGGGACGUUUGCACUAAGGACCCCCCCCUUAUUUAUGCCCCCCCCCAAAAUGGACUCCCCAGGGGGGCGCCCCCUCCCCAGUUUGACCCCCCGGGGGGCGCCCCCUCCCCAGUUUGCUCCCCCCCCGUUCGUGGCGCCCCCCGGGGGGGGAGAGGACGAGAAUAAAGUUGUGUUUCUGCCA